CCUACGGGAGGCAGCAGUGAGGAAUAUUGGUCAAUGGCCGGAAGGCUGAACCAGCCAAGCCGCGUGAGGGAGGAAGGCGCAGAGCGUCGCAGACCUCUUUUGCCGGGGGACAAAAGGCCGGACUCGUCCGGUCCUGAGGGUACCCGGAGAAAAAGCAUCGGCUAACUCCGUGCCAGCAGCCGCGGUAAUACGGAGGAUGCGAGCGUUAUCCGGUUUCAUUGGGUUUAAAGGGUGCGCAGGCGGGCCUUUAAGCCGGGGGUGAAAUCGCGGGGGUCAAACCCGCCGAGCCGUCGGAACUGGGGGCCUUGAGUGCGGCGGAGGCAUGCGGAAUGCGCGGUGUAGCGGUGAAAUGCAUAGAUAUCGCGCAGAACCCCGAUUGCGAAGGCAGCGGGCCGUGCCGCCACUGACGCUGAGGCACGAAAGCGCGGGGAUCGAACAGGAUUAGAUACCCGGGUAGUC
rnacentral:rRNA from 1 species